ensembl:snoRNA
AACUAAAGUGAUGAAAAAGUACCCUUAGGCAUGGUUGUGACCAUCUUGUUCGCAUUUCUGCCACUCGCCAAUGCUGGGGUUUGUCAUAGUUACACUGACUGGUA